GAUGAAGAACGUAGCGAAAUGCGAUACGUAAUGUGAAUUGCAGAUUUCAGUGAAUCAUCGAAUCUUUGAGCGCACAUUGCGCCCGCUAGUAUUCUGGCGGGCAUGCCUGUUCGAGCGUCAUUUCAACCAUCAAGCCCUAGGCUUGCGUUGGAGCCCUGCGGCUGCCGCAGGCUCCCAAAUCCAGUGGCGGGCUCGUCGUCGUACCGAGUGCAGUAAACAUCCUCGCUCAGGGAACGUGACGGGUUCUUGCCGUGAAACCCCCCACAUAUCAAGGUUGACCUCGGAUCAGGUAGGAAUACCCGCUGAACUUAAGCAUAUCAAUAAGCGGAGGA
rnacentral:misc_RNA from 1 species